GUGUCUGUAGUGUAGCGGUUAUCACGUCCGCUUUACACGCGGAAGGUCUGAGGUUCGAUCCCUGACGGACACA
rnacentral:tRNA from 1 species